rnacentral:rRNA from 1 species
AGUGAACGCUGGCGGUAGGCCUAACACAUGCAAGUCGAACGGCAGCACAGUAAGAGCUUGCUCUUACGGGUGGCGAGUGGCGGACGGGUGAGGAAUACAUCGGAAUCUACUUUUUCGUGGGGGUUAACGUAGGGAAACUUACGCUAAUACCGCAUACGACCUACGGGUGAAAGCAGGGGAUCUUCGGACCUUGCGCGAUUGAAUGAGCCGAUGUCGGAUUAGCUAGUUGGCGGGGUAAAGGCCCACCAAGGCGACGAUCCGUAGCUGGUCUGAGAGGAUGAUCAGCCACACUGGAACUGAGACACGGUCCAGACUCCUACGGGAGGCAGCAGUGGGGAAUAUUGGACAAUGGGCGAAAGCCUGAUCCAGCCAUACCGCGUGGGUGAAGAAGGCCUUCGGGUUGUAAAGCCCUUUUGUUGGGAAAGAAAAGCAGCAGGUUAAUACCCCGCUGUUCUGACGGUACCAAAAGAAUAAGCACCGGCUAACUUCGUG